GACGAACGCUGGCGGCGUGCUUAACACAUGCAAGUCGAACGGAGAGGCCCUGCUUUUGUGGGGUGCUCGAGUGGCGAACGGGUGAGUAACACGUGAGUAACCUGCCCUUGACUUUGGGAUAACUUCAGGAAACUGGGGCUAAUACCGGAUAGGAGCUCCUGCUGCAUGGUGGGGGUUGGAAAGUUUCGGCGGUUGGGGAUGGACUCGCGGCUUAUCCGCUUGUUGGUGGGGUAGUGGCUUACCAAGGCUUUGACGGGUAGCCGGCCUGAGAGGGUGACCGGCCACAUUGGGACUGAGAUACGGCCCAGACUCCUACGGGAGGCAGCAGUGGGGAAUAUUGUACAAUGGGCGGAAGCCUGAUGCAGCAACGCCGCGUGCGGGAUGACGGCCUUCGGGUUGUAAACCGCUUUCGCCUGUGACGAAGCGUGAGUGACGGUAAUGGGUAAAGAAGCACCGGCUAACUACGUG
rnacentral:rRNA from 1 species